UACGUAGGGUGCGAGCGUUGUCCGGAAUUAUUGGGCGUAAAGAGCUCGUAGGCGGCUUGUCGCGUCGGAUGUGAAAGCCCGGGGCUUAACUCCGGGUCUGCAUUCGAUACGGGCAGGCUAGAGUUCGGUAGGGGAGAUCGGAAUUCCUGGUGUAGCGGUGAAAUGCGCAGAUAUCAGGAGGAACACCGGUGGCGAAGGCGGCUUCCUGGACUGUUACUGACGCUGAGGCGCGAAGGCGUGGGGAGCAAACAGG
rnacentral:rRNA from 1 species